rnacentral:lncRNA from 1 species
UCCUUCACUAACAUAUGAUGAUGUUCAAAGAGGUUUGGAGCCUUUGUCGUCUCCGUUUAUCAAGAAAAUAAUAAUUUUAUAGUGGUUAUUCCAUCGAUUUAAUGAGUAUUAUGAAGUUUUACUAAAUUAAUUGAUAAAAACAAUUGAACGAUGCUCAUUUACCAUGAAAAAGAGUUUAGCAUACAUUAAUAGAAAUGUAGAAUAUUGUAUAAAUUUUAAAACAAUAUUAAAGAUUAUAGGAUUCAGUAUAUAAAGUAUUUACCAAAAACUCAAUAUAUUUGUAGGGGUUAGCCCAUAGAUUUUGAGAAAAAUUCAAAAAAUAUGACAAUAUUGUUUUAAUGCCUAGUUGCAUCCUGCACUAAAAUAUGAUGAUGUUCAAAGAGGUUUGGAGCCAUUGUCCUCUCCGUUUAUCAAGAAAAUCAUAAUUUUAUAGUGGUUAUUCCAUCGAUUUAAGGAGUAUUAUGAAGUUUUACUAAAUUAAUUGAUAAAAACAAUUGAACGAUGCUCAUUUACCAUGAAAAAGAGUUUAGCAUACAUUAAUACAAAUGUAGAAUAUUGUAUAAAUUUUAAAACAACAAUAAAGAUUAUAGGCUUCAGUAUAUAAAGUAUUUACCAAAAACUCAAUAUAUUUGUAUGGGGGUUAGCCCAUAGAUUUUGAGAAAAUUUCAAAAAAUAUGAAAAUAUUGUUUUAAUGCCUAGUUGCAUCCUGCACUAACAUAUGAUGAUGUUCAAAGAGGUUUGGAGCCAUUGUCGUCUCCGUUUAUCAAGAAAUUAAUAAUUUUAUAGUUGUUACUCCAUCGAUUUAGGAAGAGUAUUAUGAAGUUUUACUAAAUUAAUUGAUAAAAAUAAUUAAACGAUGCUCAUUUACCAUGAAAAGGAGUUUAGCAUACAUUAAUACAAAUGUACAAUAUGGUUGAAAUUUUAAAACAACACUAAAGAUUAUAGGCUUCAGUAUAUAAAGUAUUUACCAAAAACUCAAUAUAUUUGUAGGGGUUAGCCCAUAGAUUUUGAGAAAAUUUCAAAAAAUAUGACAAUAUUGUUUUAAUGCCUAGUUGCAUCAUGCACUAACAUAUAAUGAUGUUCAAAUAGGUUUGAAGCCAUUGUCGUCUCCAUUUAUCAAGAAAAUCAUAAUUUUAUAGUGGUUAUUCCAUCGAUUUAGGGAGUAUCAUGAAGUUUUACUAAAUUAAUUGAUAAAAACAAUUAAACGAUGCUCAUUUACCAUGAAAAAAAGUUUAUCAUACAUUAAUACAAAUGUAGAAUAUGGUAGAAAUUUUAAAACAACACUAAAGUUUAUAGGCUUUAGUAUAUAAAAUAUUUACCAAAAACUCAAUAUAUUUGUAGGGGUAAGCCCAUAGAUUUUGAGAAAAUUUCAAAAAAUAUGACAAUAUUGUUUUAAUGCCUAGUUUCAUCAUGCAGUAACAUAUGAUGAUGUUCAAAGAGGUUUGGAGCCUUUGUCAUCUCCGUUUAUCAAGAAAAUCAUAAUUUUAUAGUGGUUAUUCCAUCGAUUUAGGGAGUAUUAUGAAGUUUUAUUAAAUUAUUUGAUAAAAACAAUUGAACGAUGCUCAUUUACCAUGAAAAAGAGUUUAGCAUACAUUAAUACAAAUGUAGAAUAUUGUAUAAAUUUUAAAACAACACUAAAGAUUAUAGGCUUCAGUAUAUAAAGUAUUUACCAAAAUCAAUAUAUUUGUAUGGGGUUAGCCCAUAGAUUUUGAAAAAAUUUCAAAAAAUAUGAAAAUAUUGUUUUAAUGCCUAGUUGCAUCUUGCACUAACAUAUGAUGAUGUUCAAAGAGGUUUGGAGCCAUUGUCGUCUCCGUUUAUCAAGAAAAUAAUAAUUUUAUAGUGGUUGCUCCAUCGAUUUAGGAAGUAUUAUGAAGUUUUACUAAAUUAAUUGAUAAAAACAAUUGAACGAUGCUCAUUUACCUUGAAAAAGAGUUUAGCAUACAUUAAUACAAAUGUAGAAUAUCGUAUAAAUUUUAAAACAAUACUAAAGAUUAUAGGAUUCAGUAUAUAAAGAAUUUACCAAAAACUCAAUAUAUUUGUAGGGGGUUAGCCCAUAGAUUUUGAGAAAAUUUCAAAAAAUAUGACAAUAUUGUUUUAAUGCCUAGUUGCAUCCUUCACUAACAUAUGAUGAUGUUCAAAGAGGUUUGGAGCCUUUGUCGUCUCCGUUUAUCAGGAAAACAAUAAUUUUAUAGUGGUUAUUCCAUCGAUUUAGGGAGUAUUAUGAAGUUUUACUAAAUUAAUUGAUAAAAACAAUUGAACGAUGCUCAUUUACCAUGAAAAAAGAGUUUAGCAUACAUUAAUACAAAUGUAGAAUAUGGUAGAAAUUUUAAAACAACACUAAAGAUUAUAGGCUUCAGGAAUAUUGUAUAAAUUUUAAAACAACACUAAAGAUUAUAGGCUUCAGUAUAUAAAGUAUUUACCAAAAACUCAAUAUAUUUGUAUGGGGUUAGCCCAUAGAUUUUGAGAAAAUUUCAAAAAAUAUGAAAAUAUUGUUUUAAUGCCUAGUUGCAUCCUGCACUAACAUAUGAUGAUGUUCAAAGAGGUUUGGAGCCAUUGUCGUCUCCAUUUAUCAAGAAAUUAAUAAUUUUAUAGUGGUUACUCCAUCGAUUUAGGAAGUAUUAUGAAGUUUUUAGUAAAUUAAUUGAUAAAAACAAUUAAACGAUGCUCAUUUACCAUGAAAAGGAGUUUAGCAUA